ACUCCUACGGGAGGCAGCAGUAAGGAAUAUUGGGCAAUGGUCGAGAGACUGACCCAGCCAUGCCGCGUGCAGGAAGACGGCCUUAUGGGUUGUAAACUGCUUUUUUACGGGAAUAAUAGCAUCUACGCGUAGGUGUAUGCAAGUACCGUAAGAAUAAGCAUCGGCUAACUCCGUGCCAGCAGCCGCGGUAAUACGGAGGAUGCGAGCGUUAUCCGGAUUUAUUGGGUUUAAAGGGUGCGUAGGCGGACUAGUAAGUCAGUGGUGAAAUAUCCCGGCUCAACCGGGAGGCUGCCAUUGAUACUGUUAGUCUGGAGUGUAAACGAAGUGGGCGGAAUGUGGAGUGUAGCGGUGAAAUGCAUAGAUAUUCCACAGAACACCGAUAGCGAAGGCAGCUCACUAGCAUACAACUGACGCUGAGGCACGAAAGCGUGGGGAGCAAACAGGAUUAGAAACCCCAGUAGUCC
rnacentral:rRNA from 1 species